rnacentral:rRNA from 1 species
GUGGGGAAUAUUGGACAAUGGGCGAAAGCCUGAUCCAGCCAUGCCGCGUGUGUGAAGAAGGUCUUCGGAUUGUAAAGCACUUUAAGUUGGGAGGAAGGGCAGUAAGUUAAUACCUUGCUGUUUUGACGUUACCGACAGAAUAAGCACCGGCUAACUUCGUGCCAGCAGCCGCGGUAAUACGAAGGGUGCAAGCGUUAAUCGGAAUUACUGGGCGUAAAGCGCGCGUAGGUGGUUUUGUAAGUUGGAGGUGAAAUCCCCGGGCUCAACCUGGGAACUGCCUCCAAAACUGCAUGACUAGAGUACGGUAGAGGGUAGUGGAAUUUCCUGUGUAGCGGUGAAAUGCGUAGAUAUAGGAAGGAACACCAGUGGCGAAGGCGACUACCUGGACUGACACUGACACUGAGGUGCGAAAGCGUGGGGAGCAAACAGGAUUAGAUACCCGAGUAGUCC